GCCGGGGUUAUGAGCUUUAGUCUGGCUACUUCAAUGAGUUAACAAUGAUUAUUGAAGCAAGCUAAGCCGCUAUAACCCGUGCCGGUUCGAGUCCGGCCUUCGGCACCA
rnacentral:tRNA from 1 species